AUUUUUUUUCUCUCGCCUAGCCAGCUGUGGCAGGGGAGGGUGAGUGAGCGACUCUCGUGGGUGCCUGGCAUUGGGCCAGCAUCAAAUGACAGUGGGCGACUUGCCUGGCCACACAGUGUGGUGUCUCUCACCGGGGACUUUGUUGCUUUGUGGUUUUUGCCCAUUUCUUUUCCUUUGGCACUGUGACUGGGCUUACUGGCUUGCUUCUCUGCUGUUUGGGAGCCCCGAGCCAGCGCAUGCCGGGUUGCCCUCCACUUGCCUCUGCACAGCCCAGACCCAGGGACCAGCCAUCGCAGGCUGCUGUGAAAGUAAACCCACAGGCUCCCAAGUCACAGCAGAAGUCACUUGGCAGAAUUGGUAACAUCUGAACACCCUGAAGUGGUUCCAUCUGGCAUGGUGCUGCCUCCCCGUGCCUCCACAAGACAGGAAAAAGUAAAAGACAAAUACAAGACAAGAGGAUGUGACAGCUGCAUCCCAACCACUUUCCCACACCUCCCAUCUUCUAGGCUGAGAUUUACAUCACUGCAUUAACCUGGCUGCCUGUGAAAGAGUUUCAUGGUUAGGAGACAUGAAAACCAUCUGAGGUGAAGUCUGAAGACACACAAAAAGGAAUGCCAGGUAAGGUUUUUUACCGAGUGAAUGAAGAUCUGAAAAUAUUUGUGUUUGAACUGCAGAACUUGAGAACAGUGAAUUUGUCAGAUGUAUCUUACCGUGCAAAAUGAAAGGAGAAAAAAAUUGGUUGAAACAACAUAAAAUUGUAUAUACAGCUCCUUGGAACUGUUCAGUGUCAGUCUGCUGGCUCUAAGACGUUCUGCAUCCAAGAUCCUGAAAAAAUGUGAAGUUUCAUAACUAGUCAUUUAAAAAAACCCCCAAACUCUGAAGUAUAAUGGUGUGCCCAUGGGAAAACAGCUUCCUUGCACCCCUCUCUGCUUGUACCAACAAAGCAAUUCAUCACUAGAGAGUGUUUUUAAACUGUUGCAUUUAUGAAGGAGGAUGUAACUGGUAUGCAGUGGAUCACCAACACUUGUUUUAAUUCUUGCCUAAGGAACAGACAACUCAUAAAGCUGACUGCCACUGGACUAUCAUGUGCAGUAGAAUUCCUUAGUCUUCAUCUCCCUGCAGGUCAGCAUCACCAGCUUUAAUUAUGUGCAUUCUUUGAUGUUUUAAGAGACAUUUAAGUGCCUGGUAGAGCACCAGCAGUUUCUUCCAGCUUGCAGCUGAACUCACACCGCCUUUACUCAUAAAAAAAGAGUAAUUGUGACUGCAUUCUUUAUUGAGGCACUGCAGUGCUGGAAUUCAUAUGAAAGGGAAAAAGCACAAGCAGCAUCAGCUUUACUCGGUAACUGGAAAUAGCCAUGGUCUAGUUGAAGGCUGAACCAGCAGCCUCUCCAGCAGUGCAGAGGUGGUGUGCUGACUGGGGACAGGGACCAGCCCACCUCCUGCCAGGAAGCUCCUGAGACAGAGCAUGACCCUGUGUAACUCACAAAUAACCUCAGCAUUUCCAGACUGCAAAUCAAUUAGAUAAAAGGUAGGUGUUAACUGCAAACAUACCGAGUAGUAAGUAUGUACAGUUUAUUUAAAAUACUUCUUAACAUAUAAAACCCCCUCACUAUUUAUACAGUCUAAGUCCUAGCAACAUAUACAAAUACUGAGCAACUACAGUACAUGCUGAGGUAAGAACAUACAUUCUGGGAGAAUACUCAAGCCAAACAAGAGUGAAAUACAUAUUAUAUACAUGUCUUCACAUAUAAGAGAGACCCAUGAAAUGUACCUUUGCUUUAUUGUACACAGGCAAAUUCUAGUCUUAGUGUGUCAUGCAAUUAAACCCAACUGUUUACAUAUUCAAAUGUAUCUCAGCCCUAGCAGAUAACAUGUUCAAAGUCUGAGGCAGGAGCAUAGCCUGGGACCAAAUUCCUUCAGAAAAGGGGCUUAAAUUUUAAAAACAUCAAUUUCUUUAACAGCUCAUGCUCCUCAGAUGAUGAAGUUGCAUUAUGUUUUCUUAAAAAAUAACCCACUGUAGACAAACUGUUUAAUUCUUGCACCACCUUAGCUUGCAGCUAUCCACAGUUCUACCAUUCCUGGUCUGAAGUAAAAAUUAAAUCCAGGUGUGUUUACACUGACUUCAACAUAUCCAUUUGUUUUUAUGGUAAUUUUUCUAAGCCUAAACUGGUGCACGUUGAGAAUGGAGAGGAUUCUUAACUUGGCUGUAAUCGUAUUGUCACAUCUCAAUAGAAACCAACAACUUCCCACCCCUUUCAAACAGAAUCAGCUCAGGUAAUUUCAGUUAUACUUGCUGCUGAUAGCUAAGAACACUUACUCACCUGUUUAAGCAAAACUACAAAGAUUGCAGACUAUUUUUGUCAGGCAGAAAAAGCUGCAGUAACAUCAAAAGUACAAGUAUAGGCAGGAAUUUGCUGUUCACAAAUGGGUCUUAAUUACCAUCCUUCCUUACAUUGACAUUUACGCUUAAGACACCCAACUCUAAAAUAAGUAAUUAAGAAAAAGUCAGUGAAUGAGAAAGAAUGAUCAGGAAUUGUAGAAUUGGGCUUUAAGGUAGCACAGAGUAUUUUCAGCAUCUUUGUUGGCUACAGGGACAGUGGGACUGAGCACACCCUCAGCGAGUUUGCCAACACCACCAAGCUGUGAGGUGCAGUGAAGAUGCUGGAGGGAAGGGAUGCCAUCCAGAGGGAGCUGGACAGGCCUGAGAGCUGGCACCUCAUGAACAAGGUAUUGUCCUACACCUGGAUCAGGGCAAUCCCAGGCACAUGUACAGGCUGGGCAGAGAAGUGAUUGAGAGCAGCCCUGCAGAGAAGGACUGGGGGGUGUUGGUUGAUGAAAAACUCAAAAUGAGCCAGCAGUGUGCUCUCACAGCCCAGAAAGCCAGUGGAAUCCUGGGCUGCAUCAAAAGGGGCAUGGCCAGCAGGGUGAGGGAAAGGAUUCUCCUCUGGUGAGACCCGACCUGCAGUGCUGCAUCCAGCUCUGGUGCCCACAACAUAAGGACAUGGAACUGUUGGAGCGAGUCCAGAGGAGGCCAUGAGGUUGGUAAGAGGACUGGAGCCCCUCCCCUAUGGAGACAGGCUGAGAAGGUUGGGGCUGUUCAGUCUGCAGAAGAGGAGGUUGUGUGGAACCUCAUUACAACCUCCCAGGAUCUGAAGGGGCCUGCAGGGAAGCCGGAGAGGGACUCUUUGUCAGGAACUGCAGUGACAGGACAAGGGGAAAUGGGUACAGACUGAAAGAGGGGAAGUUUAG